AAUUCGUUCUGUAAACGAAGGACUUAAAGUGUUCACUCGAACGUCCGGACUUUUUCGUUCUCCAGGGAAGUGGUUGAUCGACUGUUCUGGAUUACUGUUCAUUUCGGAUUUUCACGAAUUGAGAAAGUACAGAACGAGAUUAUUCUGUGCGGAUGGCGGUGUAGUCUGGUCCUGAAGUAGGCGACGAACGAGGGGCUACUGACGGG